GACGAACGCUGGCGGCGUGCUUAACACAUGCAAGUCGAACGGAAAGGCCCUGCUUUUGUGGGGUGCUCGAGUGGCGAACGGGUGAGUAACACGUGAGUAACCUGCCCUUGACUUUGGGAUAACUUCAGGAAACUGGGGCUAAUACCGGAUAGGAGCUCCUGCUGCAUGGUGGGGGUUGGAAAGUUUCGGCGGUUGGGGAUGGACUCGCGGCUUAUCAGCUUGUUGGUGGGGUAGUGGCUUACCAAGGCUUUGACGGGUAGCCGGCCUGAGAGGGUGACCGGCGACCAUGGGACUACGGUACGGACCAGAAUCCAACGGGAGGCAGCAGUGGAGAGUAUUGCACAGUGGGCGGGAGCGUGUGGCGGCAGCGCCGCGUGCGGGAUGACGGCCUUCGGGUUAUAAACAGCUUUCGCCUGUGACGAAGCGUGAGUGACGGUAAUGGGUCAAAAAGCACCGGCUAACUACGUG
rnacentral:rRNA from 1 species